rnacentral:rRNA from 1 species
UACAGAGGUGGCAAGCGUUGUUCGGAAUUACUGGGCGUAAAGGGCGCGUAGGCGGUCUUUUAAGUUCCGUGUGAAAUCCCUCGGCUCAACUGGGGAACUGCACGGGAAACUGGAGGGCUUGAGUACAGAAGAGGAUCGCGGAAUUCCCGGUGUAGAGGUGAAAUUCGUAGAUAUCGGGAGGAACACCGGUGGCGAAGGCGGCCAUCUGGACGGAUACUGACGCUGAGACGCGAAAGCGUGGGUAGCAAACAGG